rnacentral:rRNA from 1 species
UACGUAGGCAGCGAGCGUUGUUCGGAGUUACUGGGCGUAAAGGGUGCGUAGGCGGUUGUUUAAGUUUGGUGUGAAAUCUCCCGGCUCAACUGGGAGGGUGCGCCGAAUACUGAAUGACUAGAGUAUGGGAGAGGUGAGUGGAAUUCCUGGUGUAGCGGUGAAAUGCGUAGAUAUCAGGAGGAACACCUGUGGCGAAAGCGGCUCACUGGACCAUAACUGACGCUGAUGCACGAAAGCUAGGGGAGCAAACAGG